UACGAAGGGGGGCUAGCGUUGUUCGGAAUUACUGGGCGUAAAGGGCGCGUAGGCGGCGCAUCAAGUCAGGCGUGAAAGCCCCGGGCUCAACCUGGGAACCGCGCUUGAGACUGGUGGGCUCGAGUUCGGGAGAGGAUGGUGGAAUUCCCAGUGUAGAGGUGAAAUUCGUAGAUAUUGGGAAGAACACCGAUGGCGAAGGCAGCCAUCUGGACCGACACUGACGCUGAGGCGCGAAAGCGUGGGGAGCAAACAGG
rnacentral:rRNA from 1 species